CAGCCGCCACGGUAAUACGAAGGGGGCUAGCGUUGCUCGGAAUGACUGGGCGUAAAGGGCGCGUAGGCGGCGGCCAAAGACAGAUGUGAAAUCCCCGGGCUUAACCUGGGAACUGCAUUUGUGACUGGCGAGCUAGAGUAUGGCAGAGGGGGGUAGAAUUCCACGCGUAGCAGUGAAAUGCGUAGAGAUGUGGAGGAAUACCGAUGGCGAAGGCAGCCCCCUGGGCCAAUACUGACGCUCAUGCACGAAAGCGUGGGUAGCAAACAGGAUUAGAUACCCCGGUAGACCCUGUAUCUUAUAU
rnacentral:rRNA from 1 species